rnacentral:lncRNA from 1 species
AAGUUCGUGUUUUGGUGAUUCGGCUCCGGUCAACCUGUAGAGAAAAGAAUGGUGAUCACGGUGAUAUAAAAAUUGAAUUAAACGGAGGCCGGGAAGGGCCUCAUUGGAGGCAAAAACCGAGAAGGGGCGCGGCGGCGCCGCUGGCUUUCGGCCCUAUUUUCCGGCCGUUUGGCCGGGAUUUUGGCUCCGAUUUGGCCACUGGGGAAAUCAGCGUGGAAAAACGAGUCGGGAGUAUGAAAUUUACCUCGAU